GAUGAACGCUGGCGGCGUGCCUAAUACAUGCAAGUCGAGCGAACGGACGUGAAGCUUGCUUCUCUGAUGUUAGCGGCGGACGGGUGAGUAACACGUGGAUAACCUACCUAUAAGACUGGGAUAACUUCGGGAAACCGGAGCUAAUACCGGAUAAUAUUUUGAACCGCAUGGUUCAAAAGUGAAAGACGGUCUUGCUGUCACUUAUAGAUGGAUCCGCGCUGCAUUAGCUAGUUGGUAAGGUAACGGCUUACCAAGGCAACGAUGCAUAGCCGACCUGAGAGGGUGAUCGGCCACACUGGAACUGAGACACGGUCCAGACUCCUACGGGAGGCAGCAGUAGGGAAUCUUCCGCAAUGGGCGAAAGCCUGACGGAGCAACGCCGCGUGAGUGAUGAAGGUCUUCGGAUCGUAAAACUCUGUUAUUAGGGAAGAACAUAUGUGUAAGCAACUGUGCACAUCUUGACGGUACCUAAUCAGAAAGCCACGGCUAACUACGUG
rnacentral:rRNA from 1 species